rnacentral:rRNA from 1 species
AUUGAACGCUGGCGGCAGGCCUAACACAUGCAAGUCGAGCGAGCGGCGGACGGGUGAGUAAUGUCUGGGAAACUGCCUGAUGGAGGGGGAUAACUACUGGAAACGGUAGCUAAUACCGCAUACCAUCAGAUGUGCCCAGAUGGGAUGAGCUAGUGGGUGGGGUAACGGCUCACCUAGGCGACGAUCCCUAGCUGGUCUGAGAGGAUGACCAGCGACACUGGAACUGAGAAACGGUCCAGACUCCUACGGGAGGCAGCAGUGGGGAAUAGUGCACAAUGGGCGCAAGCCUGAUGGAGCCAUGCCGCGUGUGUGAAGAAGGCCUUCGGGUUGGAAAGCACUUUCAGCAGGGAGGCGUUACCCGCAGGAGAAGCACCGGCUAACUCCGUGCCAGCAGCCGCGGUAAUAC